AUUCUGAUCGCCGCUCCUGCGAGUCCCGUCAUACGGCAGAGUAUCAGAAGAGUACGAGUGUCACCCUUAUUUUUCUCAAGUGUUCUUAAAGGUUGAUUUUAAACAUGCAUAGGUUGUAAGAGGACGGCCAAAAUUUCUAGAGCCUUUUCAGUAUAGAUCACGUGUGGUGCUACAUAUUUACUAGCAUAAGCUCAGAAUGUGUGAACCUGAACCUGACGUCUCGGUUUUCUUUUUGUUGUUGUCGACAGUACUAGCUAAAUCUAAAUUAGGGCCUAGGAGCAGGUGUUAUGCUAAAGGUUAGACGCCUGCGUUAUGCUAAAGGUUAGAGUAGCUGGGCACCCCAGCUUCCUGCCCAUGCAGACCCUAGGAGUCAGCAAGGAUAGCUCAGGUGGUUGGGGCCACUGGGGACAUUUUGGGAGUCAAUGGGCAGAUAGAGUGUGUGUGUCUGUCUGUCUGUCUGUGUGUCUCCCUCACUCCCUCUUCUCGUUCUCUCAAAAAAAAAAAAAAAAAGGUAGCCUUUCAUAUUCCACCCAGCCAAGUGAAUGUGGUGCCCUGUUGACCGUCUCAGAUAUUCCAGAAAUUCACUGCCAAUGAUUCCUUGUGCCUCACCUUGACUAGUACAAUAACUUCCUAAGUUAUUUCUUUGUUUUCUUGACAUCAACAGAAGACUGGUUGGUAGUGAGAAAGUGCAGAGAAAGGUUUAUCUGUCCCCAGAACCCACUAAACUUUUUUGAAAACAGACUUCCUUUUAUUUAUUAAAGUUUUAUUUGAAAGGCACGGAGAAACCGAGAUAGAUCCUCCAUCCACAAUAGUUGGGGCUGGGCCAGGCCGCAGCCAGGAGCCUAUAAAUCAAUCCAUUUCUCCCAUGUGGGUGGCAGGGAUGAAAUCACUAGAAACCAUCACCACUACCCUCCAAGGUGUACAUUAGCAGGAGCCUGGACCUGGAAGCACAGUUGAGAUUUGAACCCAGGCACUCAUAUGAUGUGGGUGUCCCACUGAACAGUUUAGCUGCUAUAAUUUCCCUGAAAACCAAGGAGCGUCUUUCAUGUGUUUAUUUGUCAUUUGUGUGUCUUCUUUCAUAAAAUGUUCAAACUUUUUGCCCAUUUUUUCAAAUGUGGAUUCUUACUGAAUUAUGUGUUCCCUAAAUAUUCUGGAGACAUAUCCUUUUCUCUUUUUUUAGAUGUGUCUGUUUAUUUGAAAGAGUUACGGACAGAGAGGGAGAGACAGGGAGAGAAAUUUUCCAUCCUCUGGUUCACUCCCCACAUGGCCACAAUGGCUGGAUCUGGGCCAAGCUGAAACCAGGAGCCAGGAUCUUCUUCUGGGUCUCUCACUGGGUGGUAGGGACCAAAGUAGUUGGGCAAUCCUCUGCUGCUUUCCCAGGCCAUCAGCAGGGAGCUGGAUUGGAAGUGGAAUAGUCGGGACUCAAAGUGUCAUCCAUAAAGGAUGCCAGAGGCUCAGACAGCAAGUUUACCCACUACACCACGACACUGGCCCCAAAUGCUUCGUAUGCCUUACAUAUGAAGUUUUUUAAAAUUUUUAUAUUUUAUUUAUAUAAAGGGAACAAAUUUCAUAUACACGGUUUUGAGAACAUGAUAGUAAGUGGUUUUCUAAAAUACAUAUUCUAGAUCUAAGUCCUUUUGUUCUAGGAGACCCCUAAUCAGAAGUUCUUGUCUUCAUGCAAGAAAAGAAUUUCAGACAUGGGACAGAGUCCGUAAGCACGCUAGCUGAGUUCAUUGAAAAGACCAGGCAGGCAUCUCAGUGAAGAACUGAGAGCCAGAGCUUCUUUUUGUAAACACGAAGAAAUUGCUUGGACCAACUCAAAUCCUGCCUCUGUUCUAUCUCACUGCCUCCUUCCAGGCUUUUGCUGCCACCUCUGUCUGUAAUAACUCUUGUCAAGGUCACCAGUGACCUCCAUGUUGCUAAAUCUAAUGGUCACUUUUUAGUCCUCAGCUUUUCAGAGACAGUUAGUCAUUUUCUUCCCCUUGGCAGACUUUCUUCUCUUGGUUUCCAUCAUAGCAUACUUAGUGACUUUUCCUCCUUUCUGAUUGGCUUUUCCUUUCAGUCUGCUUUGCUGCCUCCUCUUCUAAGCCUGUCUUCUUGUUGGGUGGCUUUGGUCCUAGGUUCUCUUCUCUUUAGUUGUACUCUCAUGAUCAUCUUAUGCAGUCAGUGGCUUUCAACAACAUAUAUUUGCCAGUGACUCCCAAAUUAAAAUGUGUAGUGUAGAACUCUUCCCUGAAAUGAGAGCUCUUCCUUGCUUCCUCCAGCAAACCUGCUACUGUCUCUCAGUUGAAAGAAGCCCCAUUCUGCUAGUUAUUCAGGACAAAACUGAAAUCAGGCCUGAUUUUUUUUUAAUUCCUAAAAUCCAGUUUGUCAGUAAAUUCUCUAAAGUACAUCCAGAGUCAUACGUUGUCACUGUUCUCACCCUUGACGGAGCCAUCAUCAUCCCUCAUAUGAUUAUUUUAAUAACCUCUUAAUUGGACUCCUGCUUCUAAGCCUACCCUCUGACUCCAUGUUACUGUUUAGUCUCAACACUGCACCUAGAGUGGAACUUUUUAAAUGUAAGCCUCAGGGGCCAGUGCUGUGGUGUAAUGGUAAAACUGCCACCUGUUGUACCGGCAUCCCAUAGGGGUGCUGGUUCGAAUCCCGGCUGCUGCAUUUUCAAUUCAGCUCUCUGCUAUAGCCUGGGAAAGUAGUGGAAGAUGGCCCAAAUUCUUGGGCCCUUGCAUCCACAUGGGAGACCCAGAAGAAGCUCCUGGCUCCUGGCUUCAGAUCAGCCCAGCUCUAGCCAUUGUGGCCAUUUGUGGAGUGAACCAUCAGAUGGAAGACCUUUCUUUCUCUCUCUUUCUGUCUCUCUGUAACUCUGCAUUUCAAAUAAAUAACUAAAACUUAUUUUAAAAAUGUAAACCUCACAGCAGAUAUUUAGCAGAUAUUGUAAACCAGUGUGUUAAGCCACUGUCUACAUGGAAGACCUGGAUGGAGAUCCUGGCUCCUGGCAUCAGCCUGGCCCAGCCCUGGCUGUUGUUGCUGCCAUUUAGGAGGUGAACCAGUUGAUGAAAGAGAUCUUGAUAUCUCUCGUUCUCUGUCUUUCAAAUAAAUACAAAUAUUAAGAAGUAAAAUGAAAGAUCAUGUCCUUCCUCUCCUUAACAUCCCCCAGUAGUUCCCUAUCCCAUUGAGACUAAAAGCUCAAGUAUUCACCCCUAAUAGGUCAUGAAAUGCUAAAUUAUAUGAUAUCUGCCUACCCUAUUACAUUCAGAUACCAGCUGCCACCAAUGUUUGUCAUUGCUACAGACACACUAGACUCCUUGUUACUGGAGUAACAAGGAGUAUGGCAGGCCCCCAUAUCUGAGCUUCUGCCCUGGUUGUCCCUUUCCUUGUAACGCUGUCUACUACAGGCCUCUGUACUCCUUUCAACUCCUUCAAGUCUGUCAAAUAUAAACACAGCUGAACAUUAAAGUGGUGAUACGGAUUUUAUUCAAUAACUACUGUUAGUAUGGGUGAUGUUGAGCUCAAUUUUUAUUUAUGCUUUUAUGAUUAGGUGUUUUAAAGGGAGGAAGAAUGGGUUGUGGGUUAGGAAUCAAUGAAAGAAGUGAAAUGUUGUAAAAGGUUGGUCAGUGCAAGUGUGACUAGGCCGGCUGGGAGAUUUUGUCAUCCCAUAGUAACUGGGAGACGGGCCCUGUCCCUCCUCAUGAUUACAUUGCAAAGGAAUGGCUUUCUUGUCCUUGAGAAAGAUAACUUCUGAGUACAGGGGAUACAGAUACAUGGUUGUAAGCCCAUUUUAGUAAUUACUCAAGAGAAGGGAAAGGGCGUAUCUUGAUGAUAGGGUUGGCUAGAACAAACAUUAUAAAUUCACCUGACAUUGCAGUGGGGUUUGCUGGGGCAUCCCAGGGACCGGAACGUAUGCUGUGAGAAGCAUUGUUAAAAUUUCAUCAGCUGAGUACGGAGGUGUGGACAGUGUUUUUGUGUGCCAAGAGUUCUGCAGUUCUCAAGUCUCGGCUCACAUAUUUCUUUCACAAUGAAAUCAACCCUGAUAGUCCUUGUACCCUAUCCUCUCACCCUCAUCCCUAGUAGUAUCUCUUUACCUUGGUCUAUUUUUUCCAUUGCAUGCAUUACCUUUUACAUGUUUAAAUAUUUACUGUUAUGUAGUAAUAUGUAUUAUAUAUUGUAUAUACAACAAAUUUAGUUUACUGUAGUUUUUUUAUUGUUAUCUUCUUCACCCCCGAGGAAUGGAGUAUCAACAGAAAUUUUUAUUUUUGUGUCUGUUUUGUGCAUUGAUGUGUCCCCAUGAUCUAUAUAUGGAAACUGAGAUUCAGAGAAUAGUCGAGAACAACUCCAAGGUUAUUAGUCUAAAAACUGCAAGGCUGAAGCUGACACUUCCCAUAUGGGGAACUCUGUGGGAAGAGCAGGUUUGCAGGGAGCAAGUGGCUAGGGAAAAUCAGGCAUUAGGUUCUGGGUAUGUUAAUGUGAAAUACUAUUUUAAUCUGUGUAGGCUAAGUUUGCUGCAUUCCAAAAAUGUUAAUGCCUUAAAGCAAAAAGGUUUAUUUCUUACUCUCAUUUGUGUCCAUCAUCAGUCAGCUCUGGCUUUGUGGACUUAUCUCAAGACCUAGACAGAAGAAACAGCCUCUGUCUGGGGUGUUUCUGGUAUCAGGACAGAGGGAGGAAAGAACACAAUGGAGUCCCAUGAUGGAUCUUAAGGCUUCUUCUCAGAAGUGACUCACUCAUGUCACUGACUUUGCAAAGCAAGUCACAUGGCCUACCUGAUAUCAACAGAACAGGGUAAAUGCAGUCCUAUCCCUGGGAAAGACAACAGAUAUUGUGAACAAUAAUACAAUGUACUAUAGAUCCCUAUUUGACCUAAGCAGCAGUGUCAUUGGUGAUCAGACAUAUGAGCUUAAAGUUUAAGGGAGAAGUCUAUGCUGGAGAUUUCAAUCUUAGAUUCUUCAGCAUGCAGAACAUUCGCCUUCAUGAAAUUAGAAGAGAUCUCCAAAAGAGUAAGUACAAGUAGAAAAAAGGCCCAAGGACUGAGCUUACAGCACUCUAGCAUUUUGAAAUCAGAGAAAUGAGAGAUGGUCAGGUAUGACUGAGGAAAGUAUACUGUCAGACAAGAGGAGAACCAGGAGUGGUGCCCUGGAGGCAAAGCAGUGUGUUUCCAGUUAGAGGCAGUGCUCAUCUAUGUCAAAGCUGCUGUCAGGAUGAAAAAGGAGAAACUGGGACAGACAUCAUUGGAAAAGCUGGUAAAAUAGUUUUAGUGGUGGAGUUGGAGAGAAAGCCUGAUUCCAGUUGGGUUUAUGAGAGAUUGAAAGUAAAGAAAUUUAAGGCAGCGGAUAUAAACAGACUGAACACAUUAUUCGCAGGAAAAAAAAAAGCAAAGGUACACAAAGGAAAUCAGAGACCAUAAGCUACACUGAUGAAGACCAAAAGUAGAGAUGAUGGAAUGACAGCAGAGUGACUGUCACCAGUGCAAGAUGAUCUCAUUCUAUAAAUUUUUGAGUUGUUCUGCCAUGAUAUCAGAAGACACAAGACAUUUACUGAUACAGUGUCAUCUUUCUUUCCAUCGUACAGUGAGGAUGUGGAAAGUAUGUUGGAAGAUCGUUUUUGUUAACUGGAGUCUUUGAAGAUGGAAGCAUGGGAUCUGAUCUCAAGCACAGGAGAGUGAGUUACCAAAAAUAAAAAUUGCAUUAACUCAUAUAUCUAUAAACACUCUGAUUCCUCACUGCAUGGAUUUGAAGCAAGUGGAAGUACAAAGUCUUUCAACAGUCUGGACUUCAAAUUUCCUUCUUCAGCGCCUGCCUUCCACACAUACCUUUCGGAAUCUUUCUGCAAGGUGAUCAUGCUCUGAGAUGACGGCAGAAAGAAAGCAAUAUGGUGGGAUGGGGCAGCCUGGCCUGGGACUUUGUUUUCCAGCCAACGUUAGGAGGGCCAAGGGAACCCAGUCUUUUCAACGUUGUGUUUUAAGGCGGUCUGAAUUUCACUCGAAUGUCCAUACCUCCAGGUCCUGAACUAUGAAGUCUUCCUUUUUGGAAAGAAUGUCAUUAUUGAAAGUGCUGCAAGAGUUGCUUCGUCCAUGGUACAAAUCAGCAUCUAGCCACAAACCAAACCGUCCCCUGAAAAUAUGGAAAAAAAAAGAAA